rnacentral:rRNA from 1 species
UACGGGGGGAGCAAGCGUUGUUCGGAUUUACUGGGCGUAAAGGGCGCGUAGGCGGCCACCGCAAGUCGACUGUGAAAUCUCCGGGCUUAACCCCGGAAAGGUCAGCCGAUACUGCGGGGCUAGAGUGCAGAAGGGGCAACUGGAAUUCUCGGUGUAGCGGUGAAAUGCGUAGAUAUCUGGAGGAACACCGGUGGCGAAGGCGGCAUCCUGGACCAACACUGGACGCUGAUGAGCGAAAGCCAGGGGAGCAA